ACGCUGUGCCAUUUGCCACACUGGACUAUCAUCGACGACCUCCUCACGCUGCUAUGAUGGCUGCUAACAUGCCUCUUGGAGAUCCCGAGGAGGAGAGGAGGACGCUACCCCCGUGGAAGAAAUGCCAUGCACAAUCCUAACUACCACGGAAGCAGGUAUUAUAUCGAAACGGAAUUUCCCUGAAUUGCAAGUGAAAGUCUCUUAUCAGCAUAUUUUUCAGGAGGUGUACACGCCCCCUCGAAACAGACGUACAACCAUUUCCACGCCUGUGUGAUGUUAACUGCUUCAUAUGGAUGAAAAUCAGGUCAAAUACUCGACAAUUUUGAUAGAUUGUCGGAACAAAUUACGACGACUGAAGUGUUCUCUGCGACGGACACAGACUACAAAGCAGCCUACAGAGCAGGGGAAAGCAAGAAGUAGUGCUUAAUAGCGCAACGUACGAAUUCAAGGCUACCGCUCAAUCUAAACAUUAUCUUCCACCUGCUACUGCUCACAUAAUAUACGUAUAUUUAUCAUUUAUAGAAGUAACGUAAUAGCAUUGCAAAUUUCAACCUUGAUUCUAAUUAGUUUUGCCCCGUUGGCCCCUAAAAAUCAAACAAAAAAGAAUAAAAUGCACAAGUGCCAAGCAGUUUCUCCAUCGCGUAUUUCUUUUAAAAUAUUUAUUUAAACAAACGCGUAAAUGAACGCGCUAACACAGGUGAUUUAAUGGGUAGUUAAUUAAAGCCCAAAAAUUGUAUUGCAAUUCAUUAAAUUAUUUAUUAUUUAUUACAGUCUAACUAAAAAACGCUGAUCUAGGGGAAUAAUUAAUAGUAAUAACUGAAAAAAAAAGGAAACGCGUGCUAGAAAAAACGCUAGCCAGUGAAACUCGUAGCAAAAAAAAUUAAAAUAACGUUUUUAAUUAGUAAAUUUUGAAUUUAAAAGUGAAUGGAGAAAUAAUUUCUGGUAAGUUUGAAAGUUUGUAU